ACGGCUGUAGCUCAGAGGACGAGAGCGCGACCCUGCGACGGUCGAGGACGGGCGUUCGAGUCGCCCCAGCCGUGCCA
rnacentral:tRNA from 1 species